AACCCCAUCCAGCCGUUGAAACUGGGGAUCUAGAGUGUGCGAGAGGUAUGCGGAAUGCGUGGUGUAGCGGUGAAAUGCAUAGAUAUCACGCAGAACCCCGAUUGCGAAGGCAGCAUACCGGCGCCCGACUGACGCUGAGGCACGAAAGUGCGGGGAUCAAACAGGAUUAGAUACCCUGGUAGUCCGCACAGUAAACGAUGAAUGCUAGCUGUCCGGGGGGAUUGACCCCUGGGUGGCACAGCGAAAGCGUUAAGCAUUCCACCUGGGGAGUACGCCGGCAACGGUGAAACUCAAAGGAAUUGACGGGGGCCCGCACAAGCGGAGGAACAUGUGGUUUAAUUCGAUGAUACGCGAGGAACCUUACCCGGGCUCAAACGCCGAAGGGACAUUCCCCGAAAGGGGAUUGGCCAGCAAUGGUCUUCGGCGAGGUGCUGCAUGGUUGUCGUCAGCUCGUGCCGUGAGGUGUCGGCUUAAGUGCCAUAACGAGCGCAACCCCCACCGACAGUUGCUAACUGGUCAAGCAGAGGACUCUGUCGGGACUGCCGGCGCAAGCUGCGAGGAAGGCGGGGAUGACGUCAAAUCAGCACGGCCCUUACGUCCGGGGCGACACACGUGUUACAAUGGCAGGUACAGCGGGAUGCCAUGGGGCGACCCAGAGCGGAACCCGAAAACCUGUCUCAGUUCGGAUUGGAGUCUGCAACCCGACUCCAUGAAGCUGGAUUCGCUAGUAAUCGCGCAUCAGCCACGGCGCGGUGAAUACGUUCCCGGGCCUUGUACACACCGCCCGUCAAGCCAUGGGAGCCGGGGGUGCCUGAAGGCCGUGACCGCGAGGAGCGGCCUAGGGUAAAACUGGUGACUGGGGCUAAGUCGUAACAAGGUAACCGUAA
rnacentral:rRNA from 1 species